rnacentral:rRNA from 1 species
GACGAACGCUGGCGGCGUGCUUAACACAUGCAAGUCGAACGGUGAACCUCUUCGUAGUGGCUCAGUCGCGAACGGGUGAGUAACACGUGGGCAACCUGCUCCCGGCUCUGGGAUAACUCCAAGAAAUUGGGGCUAAUACUGCAUGUUCACCGCUUCCCGCAUGGGUGGUGGUGAAAAGGGUUUCCGGCUGGGGAUGGGCCCGCGGCCUAUCUGCUUGUUUGUGGGGUAGUGGCCUACCAAGGCCACGACGGGUAGCCGGCAUGGGAGGGUUAACGGCCACAAGGGGACUGAGAGACGGACCAGAGGGGAACGGGAGGCAGCGGGGGGGAGUAUUGCGCAGUGGGCGGGAGUGUGAGGAAGAGACGCCGGGUGGGGGAAGACGGCCUUCGGGGUGUAAAGAGCAUUAAGCAGGGACGAAGCGGAAGUGACGGUACCUGAAGAAGAAGCACCGGCUAACUACGUG